rnacentral:rRNA from 1 species
UACGUAGGGUGCAAGCGUUAUUCGGAAUUACUGGGCGUAAAGCGUGCGCAGGCGGUUUUGUAAGUCAGAUGUGAAAUCCCCGGGCUUAACCUGGGAACUGCGUUUGAAACUGCAAGGCUAGAGUGUGGCAGAGGGGGGUGGAAUUCCACGUGUAGCAGUGAAAUGCGUAGAGAUGUGGAGGAACACCGAUGGCGAAGGCAGCCCCCUGGGUUAACACUGACGCUCAGGCACGAAAGCGUGGGGAGCAAACAGG